GUAACGCGUAGGAAUCUACCAAAUAGCGGGGGAUAGCCCGGAGAAAUCCGGAUUAAUACCGUAUACCUCCUUCGGGAGAAAGAAGGCCUCUCUUUGAAGCUUUCGCUACUAGAUGAGCCUGCGUAAGAUUAGCUUGUUGGUGAGGUAAAAGCUCACCAAGGCGACGAUCUUUAGCUGGUCUGAGAGGAUGAUCAGCCACACUGGGACUGAGACACGGCCCAGACUCC
rnacentral:rRNA from 1 species